rnacentral:tRNA from 7 species
GCCUCCGUAGCUCAGUGGAAGAGCAGAUGGUUUCUACCCAUCCUGUCGCGGGUUCGAAUCCUGCCGGGGGCG